ACAAAGCCCUGGCUGGGAUGAUUUAGUUGGGGAUUGGUCCUGCUUUGAGAAGAGGUGUGGACUAGAUGACCUCCUGAGGUCCUUUCUAAUCCUGAUAUUCUGAGAGUCUAUGGAGGUCCAUUGCAUACCAAGGGCAGUAUGGAAAAAUACAGAGGUAUUGUAGCUGGGAAGAAUCUUUCAGAUAAGCUAUAAAGGAGGCAUCUGUUAUUUGGGGACAGUUUUUAGAACAGCUGCUUGAAAUAGUUCUUGUACAUCAUAUCUGUCUGGCUACCUCUCUUGUGAUGGUCACUCCAUCUGCAAAAGUCUGGAUCCAAAUCAGGUUCUUUUGUUAAUCAGACACCAGAGGACCCUCUCCCAUCCUUCGGCAUCACAUUGAGAAGAGAACCUCAUAGAUAGGAGAAACUUGGGCCACAUUCCCCUUGGAGAAGUAGGAACUAGCACUCAUGAGGAGGUACAGAAUAUAGAGUUCUUAGUUACCACAAAAUUAGUAAGCUUUUCUCUAGUGUCAAAGGAUCCCCAAAGAGAAUGUUCUAACCAGAAUAACUAUCCGCUCUCCAGAAAAACUUGUGUGGUCUUAUUUUUUAGUAACCAAGAUCCUCUCAACACAAAGUGAUCAAGUUGCUGUAAUAGGCAACACUCCCAUAUGGAGCUAAUGAUGUGGGCAUCUGCUGAUGUCAGUGACCCCAAGAGACUCUGAAUUUGAGGCCAUUCCUGUUUACCCAAGCACAUCAUCCAUAAAUUAGUACAGGGCCCCAGGCUUUUCUGUUCAUGCUAUUAUAAUACUGGUAACUGUCCCAAAGAUAGAACAGCUGCAAGCUCUGCAAACUGAGAGAGCACAUUUAGUGUCCGGGAACAGCUCUCCCACCUGUCCAACCCAUGGCUGAGUGACUGGAGCGACUUGCUGCACUUGUGGAUGAGGAAGCCAGAGGGCAGUCAGUCUAUUUGAGCCACUCUCGGAGAUCCUUCAGACAUAAGCCUAUCUCAGUUGUGGAGCACAUAGUUGAUGGAAAAUGCAGCAGCUCUGAAUGAUAUGCUCUUGCUUAAGGUGCUCUCUGAGUCUUCCUGCAUGCAAAAUAAGUGACCUGUGAACCCCUUUCUGAAAAUCCCAUUUCCUGGUUUUCCACAAGGAAAGUCAUUAUUCAGACCAUCUUUGUGCUUAUUUCUUUUCACUCCAGUCUCUACUGAGUUUCUAUCUUGAGCCCAGAUCUGAAGAAAAUAAAGCCUGGGAUGCUCAUGGUUGCACGAGGAACUCACUGGUUGAAUACAACUUUAAAAACCUAGAUCAAAAAUUUCAUCACGGAGGCCUACGUAGACUUACUUAGAGGACUAAGAAGUCAUUUUGUUGUGCUCAGUACUACAGAAAUGCUUGUAUAUAAUGCAAAUAUUUCUACUCCCAUCGUGCUGCCAAUCAGCACAAGUGGUAUUCCAGAGUUGUCUUUUUUUCCCCAUGUUCUUACCAUUACAAAUUAGACACUGAAUUCUCACCAGAUAUGACUUUAGAGUGCAGUUUGGGAGUGUGUUCCCUCAAAUCUUUUGCUUUCCCUCUUUCCCCAUUUGCUUUUGGAUUUUAUUUAAGGAUUGCUGCAAAGAUCCACUUGGUUCUGAGUUAAUCCCCUGAAGAUGCAGAAACAGAAAAUCUGCCUGUUCUGAUUGGAUUUCUGUUUCUCUUUUCCCUAAUUCAAGAGACUUUUUUCCUUAAAUUCAGAUGUCUGUAAUUUCCUAGGACACUUAAGCUUUUUAGUCUUUCAGGAAAGAAUUUAAAGUAAGCUUUUCUGUGGAAUUAUCAUUUAGAGAACAUGGCAGCGUUAAGCUCUCAGAUAAGAAAAUGCCAAAGUUAAAGUUGAGGAUGCAAUCCUAACUGCCCCCUUGUGGCUAUGCCUGUAAUUAUAAAGCCAAUUUUUUUUUUUCUUCUCAGUACUGAUUCAGACUGAAACUGCCACACGUAGGGUGCUUGUACAAGGAAGAGGUUGAAAUGCCAGUGUGAUGUUCAUUGCUCCUACUUCUGCUGGUUUGUAUUGAAAAAGUCCGGAAGUGAUAACUUGAGGCCCCUGGGAAAUAAAGAUAUUUCCUCCUCCAUUGUGGCUUUGGCUGUCAGGUGCUACAGGUUCCACUUUUCACCUCUCCUUUUUAGCUGGACGCUGCCACCCACUAUUUACCUAUCUUAGUUCAGUUCUGCACACAAUUAGCUGUGACCAGGUCUUCAAAGGUAUUUUAAAGGAAUUCGGGGUGCUUGGGGAAGGAUGGUAGUAGCUUGCACACUAAAUCUUGACGUUUGCAGCUGGGAGGGGGAACCACAAAUGAAUGGCUUGUCAGUGAGCUUCAGAUUUGCUAAAACUGACCCUGCUGUUUCUCAGACGAUAAUGUAUCUUACUGUGGUUUUUCUACAGUCUUAAGAACAUAAUGUAGUAUCUUAUGGUACUUUUUAAAUUUUGCUUACGUGAGUUUUCUUCUUAAAGUCCAGUAUCUUUGUUACCAUACACUUUUUAUAGGAUAAGCACAAAGGUUGAUAUUUGAAUAAUUUGGUCAUCUCUGUACUAUCCAUUUAUUUUCAAAACAGCAGUGCAGGCUUUUUUUUAGGUGCAAUUAACUUUGAAGCUAAUCUGGCCUGUUUAUGCCAGUAAAUGUUCACUGCUCUGUACAAUGUAAAAUGUUUUUCAUAUUGGCAACUCUCAUAAACAUAAAGUAGUUUACAAGACUGCAGGAUACUGCAUGUGUUCUUUUUUUAUUUUUUUAUUUUUAUUUUUUGCUCCUUCUGUUUGAGGAUCUCCAGGUAAUUUUAUAACACAUUCAUUAAGUCUUCCCCAGCUCACAAGAUGUUGUAUUAUCUAUCUUCUACAGACAAGGAAAUUAAAUCAGGUAUUUUGUCCAGUUAUGAAUCAGGGACGGAGCCGGAAUACAAAUUAGGACUUCAGCUUGCGUUUCUCUGCUCUUACAACUUGACUAAAUUUCCUGUUUUUUUAAAGACAGCUGGACUAGAAAGUAAGGUGCAGGAUUAAUUCUGAAACUAUUUAAUUAGUUCUAUUAAUUGAGAUGUAUUAUAGAAUCACUUUCAACUGGUGAAGGAAAACCCCCAGAGGACACCAGAGACUUUAAUUCCUCCAGUUGGGUGAGUUUGCUGCCUAUCAAGAGCAAGAUCAACCCGUCAGGAAUGUGUGUGCUGGGACCCAGUUAACAGGAUAUUCAUCAGAUGCUACAAAUCUAGAUGUAUGAUUCCCAGAACAGUGUGUGAAGUGUAUGGAAAGCAGCUGAAACCAGGAUAAGAUCUAAAGAACAAUGCAAGAAGAGCUAGGAACACAUUUUUAGCUGUCUAGAGGUAGCAUGGUCUGAAGCAAUGAACGCUGGUUGGAAUUAAGGACUUGAUCUGCCACUGACUUGCUCUGUGGCCUUUGACAAGUCACUUCACUUCUUUGCCUCAGUUUCACCAUCUGUAGAAUGGGAAUAGUGCAUAUUCACCUAUCUCACAUGGAAAGCACUGUAUAGGUACCAAUUUUUUUCUCCAGGCAGCUUGCGUACAUGUUCAAAUUAAGUAUCACUGCCUGCUUUGUGGUGAGAGAAUGCAGCUUUCUAUCACGGAUAGGUGGUUAAGGACAGGUAAUUAAGUGCAUUGAAGUUUUAAGGUAGUGUUUGCUGUGAAGCCUAAUGAAAAGUGACUGUGGCAAGUAUGGCAAGAUUCUUUAUACAAGUUUUGCACAGACUUCUCAUUUAUAGGGGACUUCAGUUUAAAUUCCUGAAUUGCUACCCUCAUACCAAUGAAUGUGAUUGGUCUUGUUGAUACCCUGACUAGAUAAAUAUUUGUUUAGAAGCUGAAAUGUUUAAUGAGAAAUAAUGAACCAUAAGAGUUUGAGAGCAGGAAAAUGAGAUCAUUGGCACAAUCCCAAAUUUCCUUUUAUUAGAUCUUGUAUUUUUAUUUACUGUUCUAAAUCAGUCAUAAGAAUUCAGACUAGAAAGGAAGAGAUUCAGGAGAACAUUGUGGAUACAUUAAUGGUGCAGGUUAAACAGAGUUGCUACAAGAAUUCUCAAAUUAAGCAUUAACUGCUACAACAAUGUAUUCAAUCUAUAUUUUGGAAGAAAAAGGCCUUCUUUUGUCUUGGAAUACAUUGGCACUAUUAAAAAGGGACAAAUGACAGCUAGAAAAAUGAUGCAACAAUAGCAUUGUUUAGACUGCUGUCCUCUUCAAGGAGUUCCUGUACCUGCUGAUCAGACAGCAUGGGAUCCAAGAAAUGAACUACAUGUGUAUCAAAAUAUAAAGGUGGGUGUUGUAAGUGUAUUUACAGUGUUCUCUGUUGUAGUUUGCAGUGUAUUGAAAACUAUGCAUAUGUAUUGUAUGUUUUUAUUGGUCCUUUUUUGUAAUGGCCAGUUUCCUCUAAUAAACAUCUAUCUAAAGUCA